GCCCAGGUAGCUCAGUUGGUAGAGCAGCGGAUUGAAAAUCCGCGUGUCGCUGGUUCAAUUCCGGCCCUGGGCACCA
rnacentral:tRNA from 1 species